ACGGGAAGACCGGAGAGGAGCUGCGUCUCUGCCCCGUGGGAGCCGGCGGGGCGGCGGGGCGGCGGCUGCAGCUGCAGCUCCGGCGCGAGGGCUCCCUUGCCGGGCCCUCUUCCCCGACCCCUGGGGCGCUCCGACAAGGAAGAGCCGUCCAGCGCGCGUCCGUCCUGAGCGUGGAGGAGUUGGUGAACAGCAGGAUGGAUGGGAUGUCAGUCAGCUGUGCCCCUGGCUACCCCUGUGCUUGAACAGUGGACUGUGAGUGGCGGCGUCAUGCAGAAGGAGCACAGGGUCCCAGGCCAGCAUCACUAUCCAGGAGCUUCAGGCAUGCUCCGUGUACCAACAUGGGAUCACGAAUCACAUCGCCUCAGGCCAAGAAAGCCAUUUUAUAGCGAAAGAGCCUUAGGAUCUGCUGGAUUAGAGCCUGUUUCCCAGGUAGGAACGCUUCCACGAGGGCACUCCUGCUGGUUGCAGGAAGGAUACCUCUGCUGAGCCUGAAUCUGCAAAGACCACCAGGUUACUCUCAGCUCCUCAUACUGGUGGACCAGCAGGCCACAAAGGAGGGGAUACUUGAUCCUGAUAAACGGUGAGGAGGUAGCGUGGCUGCUGCGUAACGGGGCAAGCAGGCAUUGAUCUGGCACUUAGAGGAUUCAUCUAGGUCUGUCUUGGUGCUUCCAUGCCAAGUAAUGACAAUGAAAAGGUCUUUUCAGCAGCCAUAGCCCCUAAGGGCUCAGAUGCCUCAGGGUGAAGGUCUGGGCAGCGUCACCAGGCAAGCCAUGGAGACAAGCUGGAAUGCUGGUGAGGGUGAGGCCAAGGAGGAGGUGGCUGCUGAAUAUCUGUUACUUGGGAGAAGCUGUGGCAGUGGGGAUUGUAUUUGUUCUGCUAAGCCUCUUGUAUUAAGGCUUUCAUAGGAGUUGUAACUAGCCUUUACUUUGAAGAAUCGUGACAGAGUAGACUCAAUAUUGUAGCUGACUAGAUCUGAGAGGGGCAGGAGAUGGUGUCUUGGCUGAUGCCCUCAGCCCACCUUUAACUGCAGUGGACACAGAGCUGCAUCUCUGCUGUGUGUCUUUGCACUUCCUGCUCCAGGCCUUCUCUGACACCAUGGCGGCCCCCUGAGCCUGUGCCGAGAUUGUGCCACUGCACUCCAGCCUGAGCAACAGAGCUAAACUCCAUCUCAAAAAAAAAAAAAAAAAAAAAAAAAAAAGGCGAGGGGAAUACAUACAGGAAUGGACUGUGAGGAUACAAAGCCAAGAAUGAAUUGUAGGUUAGUGCAAAUUUAUCAACAUGAGUGCACUUCAAAGAGAAUCUUUGAUUCCGUAUUUUGGCUCAAGGCCUGGGAGUAGUUAUGACCGUGCCUGGGUGGCUGAAUGAAGCCUGGACUCCUUGGUGGUUUACAUUGAUGGGAAGAUGAGAAUGUGGAGUGGAUUUGUGAUGUAUGUGACAUGACCUGGCUGCCACUCUCCUCUCUCUAUCCCUUCAUUAGACCAUUGUGUAAUUUAAAAAAAUAGGUUAUAAAUUUCUUUUCAAGAUAGUAAAGGGGUACGAUCAACAACCCAUGGAACGGGAGAAAGUAUUUGCAAAUCAUGUAUCUGAUAAGGAGUUAAUAUCCAAAAUGUAUAAGGAACUUACAAAACUCAAUAGCAAAACACCAAAUAACCCAAUUUAAAAUGUGUAAAGGACCUGAAUAGACAUUUCUCCAAAGAAGACAUGCAAAUGACCAACAGGUAUAUGAAAGGGGCCCAACAUCACUAAUCAGGGAGAUGCAAACACCACAACGAGAUAUGACAACAACGCGAUCCACCUCACACCUCUUAGUUUGGCUACUAUAUAAAAAAAAAAAACAAAGGCAAGAGAUAACAAAUAUUGGCGAGGAUGUGGAGAAAAGAGAACCCUUGUAUACUGUUGGUGAAAAGGUAGAUUGGUACAACCAUUAUGGAAUACAGUAAAAAAUUAAAACAGAACUACCAUGCAAUCCAGCAAUCCCACUUCUGGAUGUAUAUCCAGAGGAAAUGAAAUCAAUAUCUUGGAGGAUAUCAGUACCAGCUUAUUCAUUGCAGCAUUAUUCACAAUAGCCAAGUUAGGAAGCAACCUGAGUGUGCGUCGGCAGGUGAAUGGAUAAAGGCCAGGUGUAGGUGCUGGCUAGGGAUUCUAAAAUUAUGGGAAAACUGGAAAAUUGAUAUUAGGGCACCAUCUGCCCCUUUGGCCAUGCCCUCUCUACUUCCUGUAUACAAAACUCACUCACCUUAUCCUUAAGGGAGACCACUGUAAAAGUUCUAACUAGUUGCAGCAUCCAGCUCAAAAUUUAGGUUCUCUGACUUAUAUGCAAUUUGCUCCUUCAGGUCCAGAGGUAGAUCCUUGUGGUCCAGUGACUUAUAAAAGGUUUGUCAUUCAUCCUCCAACAAACUCAGUGUACACUAGUUUAAUCCAAUGUCGUAUAAACUAAAACAUAUUUUAUGUGUCCCAAACAUACAAAGAAAGAUUAAGGGCCGGGCGCAGUGGCUCAUGCCUAUAAUCCCUGCACUUUGGGAGGCUGAGGUGGGCGGAUCACCUGAGGUUGGGAGUUAGACACCAGCCUGGCCCACAUGGAGAAACCUCGUCUCUACUAAAAAUACAAAAUUAGCCAGCGUGGUGGCGCAUGCCUGUAAUCCCAGCUACUCGGGAGGCUGAGGCAGGAGAAUCGCUUGAACCCAGCGGGCGGAGGUUUCAGUGAGCUGAGAUCGCGCCAUUGCACUCCAGCCUGGGCAAAAAGAGUGAAACUCCGUCUCAAACAAAACAAAACAAAACAAAAGAGUAAGAAUUGGGUAAAUACUACAAAGACCCCAUAUUUAGACCCGAUCUCUAGUCUGUGGCACUUGCCAAAUCCUAUUGAGCAUAAAUAGUGAAGUCCCCUUUCCUGGCAGCGCCGGCUCAGUUUUCUGGAAUGUUUCUCCUUGUCUGUUAGACUUCGUGUCCACAUCUAGGAGGACACUGGAGAGGAACCUUCUUGGAGGCUGCGUAGUUUCUUCUAUGGGAUCAAAUGCCUCCUGGCUUUUGUAGGGAUUACUUUAGGAGCUGAAUUGUCAGAGGGUUUGACAAACUAGAUUGUAGUUUCUUUGGUGAUACGAUUUCUCCACAUUUUCAGUAGUGACAUUCUAG
rnacentral:lncRNA from 1 species